rnacentral:rRNA from 1 species
GCAGUCGAGCGGUAGCACAGAGAGCUUGCUCUCGGGUGACGAGCGGCGGACGGGUGAGUAAUGUCUGGGAAACUGCCUGAUGGAGGGGGAUAACUACUGGAAACGGUAGCUAAUACCGCAUAAUGUCGCAAGACCAAAGUGGGGGACCUUCGGGCCUCAUGCCAUCAGAUGUGCCCAGAUGGGAUUAGCUAGUAGGUGGGGUAACGGCUCACCUAGGCGACGAUCCCUAGCUGGUCUGAGAGGAUGACCAGCCACACUGGAACUGAGACACGGUCCAGACUCCUACGGGAGGCAGCAGUGGGGAAUAUUGCACAAUGGGCGCAAGCCUGAUGCAGCCAUGCCGCGUGUGUGAAGAAGGCCUUCGGGUUGUAAAGCACUUUCAGCGGGGAGGAAGGCGUUAAGGUUAAUAACCUUGGCGAUUGACGUUACCCGCAGAAGAAGCACCGGCUAACUCCGUGCCAGCAGCCGCGGUAACACGGAGGGUGCAAGCGUUAAUCGGAAUUACUGGGCGUAAAGCGCACGCAGGCGGUUUGUUAAGUCAGAUGUGAAAUCCCCGGGCUCAACCUGGGAACUGCAUCUGAUACUGGCAAGCUUGAGUCUCGUAGAGGGGGGUAGAAUUCCAGGUGUAGCGGUGAAAUGCGUAGAGAUCUGGAGGAAUACCGGUGGCGAAGGCGGCCCCCUGGACGAAGACUGACGCUC